GAUACAAUAGUCUAACAAAAGUUGUUCCAUAGAAGUUAUGUAUACAAUCUAUAUGUCCAAUUGUAGCUUUGGCUACAUUCAAAUGAAAAUAUCGAAAAAUAAAUCGACAUAAUAGCUCUCCCUAUAACUUAAAAACAUCUACAAGCUAAUAGGGUUGAUCAAGAAGCAACAUCUAGCCUUCAAUUAGUGGACUAAUUGCAGUAACCUGAACAAUAAUAUGCACAAAACUGUAAAAGUUAUACUUUAGGAUUCAGCUAAACAUCCACGUAUGGAUUAACUCUGCCAAAGCCGCUUGAUGGAUCCUAUGCUUUUUGUGAGUGGCAUAGUACACACAACAUGGCAUGUCAAAUAAUUGCCGAAUCUAAGUUCUAAAUCUAAAUUUCUGUAGAAGAAAAUCAUGCAUGUGUGCACCUCUGAUAAAUGAUAUCACAAUAAUUUCCGCAUGAAAAAAACCAUACAUGGUUAUUCUUAUGCUUCAGGAAAUCAAAUGUAUAUAUAAUAAAUGAUUCAUCUUAUGCUUCAGGAAAUCAAACGUAUAUUACAGUCAAUGGUGAAGAUGUGUGCAGCAUAUUAGCGAAAAUCGUUUGUACAAUCUAGAAGACAAAUAACUUAUUUAAUAGAGAACAAAACUUCCAAGUAAUUAAAAGUUACAAAAACAAAGUAGAUAAUAUGUGCAAGAAUCCAUGCAAUGUAUUGGAGGUAAAUCCGACCUGAAAUGGAAAUAGAGAAGCAUUGCAUGACCUCUCGGCAGAUCAAAACCUAUAUUAUUUUCUUUACACUCUGACUUGGAUUGGUAUUUAGUUCAACACCUAUAGAGUUAGAAGCUACACUACUUUUGCAGAUGAUUUAUAAGCGUUUGAAAAUUAAAGAAGAAAAACAUGCAUAUAAUGUGAUCAUAUAUAUACAUGUAUUAGCUUUUGAAAGGCCUUGUUUUUUGGCAAAAAGCUUUUGAAGAGCUUGUGCUUUUCUGAUUCUCUAAUAAUAGGUAGACAUUAAAUUUAAUUUUAGAAGGGUAAUUAAGAGACUACUACUACUGCCCAGUAAUAAAUAUGUGGUUUAGUACAGCCUCGGUAAUUGAUCUUUUAUUCUAAUUCGGAUCAAGCAAUGUCUACAAAACAAAAAAAAGUAAUGAGUCUGUGUAUCCUUGCUGAAGAUUAUUGGCUUUCCAAACUAUGCAUGUACCUUUCCCAACUAAUUAGCUUUCCAAACCAUGCAUGUAAUCUUGAACGGAUCAAGCAAUGUCUAAGAAAAGAAGAAAUGAGUCUAUGUAUCCUUGCUAAAGAUUAUUGGCUUUCCAAACUAUGCAUGUACCUUUCCCAACUAAUUAGCUUUCCAAACCAUGCAUGUACCCUUUCAAGGCAUAUUUUCACCUGCAAAACACGAGCAGAUAAACCUCAAAACUUACAAAAUGGAUCAUAAUACCACAAGAAAGUUUUAGUGCAAUCAGAACAGACGAUAUAGAAAAUUGAACAAAAAUUAGAAUAACUAAUGAUCUGAUAGGGUUAGUAAAGAAAACAUAAGUUCAGGCUAAGAUUUAAUAUAAGGGAAGGAGGAAACAAAUACAUGGAAAAUAUUGGGCCAAAGGGAUUUCGGAAAAUCAUACUGUGCCAACGAAGUAGUAACUAUUCAUCUAUGCACUAUAAGAGAGUCACCGAUACGAGGAUCCAUGUGUCAAAAUUAUGAUUUUCUACUCUUCCCCGAAGCUUAAUUCAAAUAUACAAAAACUUUCAACUAAUUGAUGGGCCUUAGAUGGAACUAAAUGUUGUAACACAAACAGGUGAAUGUCAAUAAAUGGAAGUACCUAGUAGAAGCAAAGGUUGUUGUUCACAUUCUCUUCAGAAGCAUGCAUCUUAUUGAUAAAAGCACACGCCAGGAAGAAGUGUGUUGGGAUAACAAUAUUCAGUUUUGGACCCCCUUUUCCACUUUGUAGUAAAAGACAUCGUUGUAGUGGCACCAAAAUGAAGUCUAGCCUCUCAAUGAAAACGAAGCAACAUUAAGGAUAGAUGCAAAUAAGCAGAGGUAGAAUAUAAGAAAUCAGUUGGCACACAUGAAGAACCAAAGGCACCAUAUUGUUUAGCUUCAAGGUAAAUAACAAGUAAUGUUGCUGGCAGGAUAUUUACAACCCAUGUGGCAUAAAAGUGGUCUUCUUAAAUGCAAACAAUCCUUCCUUGAACAACAUUAUACAGUGUGUGCAGUUCAGAAUUCUUAUUGAAUUUAAACUUAAAUACUUCUAAAUUAGAAAGUCUAAAGCGAAUUCUAAACUUUUAAUUUCAAGUCUAUAUUAAUCGCUUCACCAAAUAUAUAGUUUAGGAUUGAACUGUUUUCUUUUUAGAAAUUUGCCUGAACAUUAUAGGAGCAGUACAUUGUUCCUCUUCACUUUGUUUCUAUAUUUGGGAUUAUCAUUGUAUUAAUCUUAUCAUCAAAUAAAUGCAUCUUUUAUUUUCACGUCAUUCUUCCUAGAUGCUCACUCCCUGCAUAUUGCCAUGUUCUCCAGUAGGAUGAAACUAAUGAUACUACAAAAAUCAAAAGUAACAUCAGAGAUUGCCAGAUAAUAAGAGAAAAUAACCUCGGAGCAGAGAGGAAGAACAAGAUUAUUGAUCAGAGUGGACAGUACAUGCAAACUUGUGAGGUUUUGGGGGAUACAGGGUGGCGAAUCAUACCAAGGAGGACAAGCUACAGGUGGCGGUGGUGUCACCUCGGAUCUGGUACGCCAUGAGCCGCUUCUUGGAUGCUAAAUAAUGUCCAAUUAGUUUGUUUAUUUGCAUCAAAUUAGGAAUAAAUGUAUACACUUUUCAACACUAAAAGCUAAUAAAAAUCUUCACUUAUAUACAAAUGAAGGAUAGAAUGUAAACAACUUUUUUUAAUUGUCCUGCUUUUAUAAAAAGCAAAUUUUUCAGCCUCGGCAUGAUCUCUAUUGUAUUGUUGCAGCCCAUGAUGUCCACUGUAUUUGCCAAUAUCAUGUGCAGCCAUAGUGCAUGGAAAAAAUCAAACAAUACAGACAUGUUGACUUGGACGGAUAACUCACUGCUAGUUGGCCCAAAAACUCUUGCAGGAAAUUGAAUCAAAGGUAGUAAACAAGGAGAUGGAUUUGGGGAUGCACACCUUGCAAACGAUUUGGCCGGACUGUGACUUCAUUGUAUGGUUUGAUGCCACGAUGACGAGCUCAGUCCGCU
rnacentral:lncRNA from 1 species